AGGACGAACGCUGGCGGCGUGCUUAACACAUGCAAGUCGAGCGGUAAGGCCCUUCUGGGUACACGAGCGGCGAACGGGUGAGUAACACGUGGGUAACCUGCCCUGUACUGUGGGAUAAGCCUGGGAAACUGGGUCUAAUACCGCAUAUGACUGCAUCCUGCAUGGGGGUGUGGUGGAAAGUUCUGGCGGUACAGGAUGGGCCCGCGGCCUAUCAGCUUGUUGGUGGGGUGAUGGCCUACCAAGGCGACGACGGGUA
rnacentral:rRNA from 1 species